rnacentral:rRNA from 1 species
UCCUGGCUCAGGAUGAACGCUAGCUACAGGCUUAACACAUGCAAGUCGAGGGGAAACGAUAGAGAAAGCUUGCUUUUUCUAGGCGUCGACCGGCGCACGGGUGAGUAACGCGUAUCCAACCUGCCCAUCACUUGGGGAUAACCUUGCGAAAGUAAGACUAAUACCCAAUGACGUCUCUAGAAGACAUCUGAAAGAGAUUAAAGAUUUAUCGGUGAUGGAUGGGGAUGCGUCUGAUUAGCUUGUUGGCGGGGUAACGGCCCACCAAGGCGACGAUGGAUAGGGGUUCUGAGAGGAAGGUCCCCCACAUUGGAACUGAGACACGGUCCAAACUCCUACGGGAGGCAGCAGUGAGGAAUAUUGGUCAAUGGUCGGCAGACUGAACCAGCCAAGUCGCGUGAGGGAAGACGGCCCUACGGGUUGUAAACCUCUUUUGUCGGAGAGUAAAGUACGCUACGUGUAGUGUAUUGCAAGUAUCCGAAGAAAAAGCAUCGGCUAACUCCGUG